UCCUACGGGGCGCAGCAGUGGGGAAUCUUCCGCAAUGGGCGAAAGCCUGACGGAGCAACGCCGCGUGAUCGAAUGAAGGCCUUCGGGUUGUAAAGAUCUGUUGACAGGGACGAAUAAGCAAUGCGAAUAGUUUUGUGUAUGACGGUACCUGUUUAGAAAGCUCCGGCUAACUACGUGCCAGCAGCCGCGGUAAUACGUAGGGAACAAGCGUUAUCCGGAUUUACUGGGCGUAAAGGGAGCGUAGACGGCCAUGCAAGUCUGAUGUGAAAACCCGGGGCUUAACCCCUGAACUGCUUUGGAAACUG
rnacentral:rRNA from 1 species